rnacentral:rRNA from 1 species
AUACGGAGGAUCCGAGCGUUAUCCGGAUUUAUUGGGUUUAAAGGGUGCGCAGGCGGGAGAUUAAGUCGGCGGGGAAAUUUUGCGGCUCAACUGUAAAAGUGCCUUCGAAACUGGGUUUCUUGAGUGUAGAUGAAGGAGGCGGAAUUUGUGGGGUAGCGGUGGAAUGCAUAGAUAUCACGAGGAACUCCGAUUGCGCAGGCAGCUUACUAAACUACUACUGACGCUCAGGCACGAAGGCGUGGGGAUCAAACAGGAUUAGAUACCCUGGUAGUCCACGCAGUAAACGAUGAUUACUAGCUGUUUGCGAUACAAUGUAAGCGGCUGAGCGAAAGCGUUAAGUAAUCCACCUGGGGAGUACGUUCGCAAGAAUGAAACUUAAAGGAAUUGACGGGG